GUCAUAAAUAAAGUUCAUCUUAAGGCAAAUCAUGUGGUCAAGAGAGAUGUUGAUGAGCAUUUAAGAAUCAAGACUGUCUAUGAUAAAAGUGUUGAAGAGUUGCUCCCUGAGAAAAAGAAUCUUGUAAAGAACAAGCUUUUCCCACAAGCGAUUUCUUAUUUAGAGAAGACUUUUCAGGUCCGUCGACCUGCGGGUGCUAUCUUACUUAGCAGGUAUGUCACAUGAAACACAGAUCAUUUUCUUCAGCCGUUUAGUACUCUGCCUUUCUCGUUCUAUGAACAUGGCAAGGUACGAAACUUAUACUAUAAUUUUAUUAUGCUUGUUCUUAGGGACCUAACUGCAAGGUAUUUAAAAAGAAUAAAAAAGCACCUGCUGGAUAAUCAUUCUUUCCCUGACCUUUCAUUGUGAGAUGGUCUACUGAAUUUUUUCUGGGUGUAGUUAUCCCCUGUUCUCCAGAUCACCUUUUUCCCUCUUUCAUGUGGAUACAGUGUUGGCUUUAUGAAGUAUUUGGGUGUUUAAAAACCCAAAUCAAGAGGAUUUCCUAUAGAACCCAAAUUCUUUCUUAGCUACUUUCCUGACUAAAAUAGUAACGUUAUUAAUGAAGUAAUAUAGCAGCUACCAGUUGGUUUCCAUGUUUUUAACUGCUAUAAAAUAUUCUCUUUUUUGUAUUUAAACUUUGAUGUACAAAUGGACUGAAGACAAUGUGCAACAAACCAAUACCUCCGGAAGGAAAACGAUCCUCACAGGUACUGCACCGGGGAGUGUGCCACACACACAAAGUGCGGCCCUGUUAUUGUUCCUGAGGAACAUCUCCAGCAAUGCCGGGUCUACCGUGGGGGUAAGUGGCCUCAUGGAGCAGUGGGUGUACCAGACCAAGAAGGCAUCUCAGAUGCAGACUUUGUUCUUUACGUUGGUGCUCUGGCCACCGAGAGAUGCAGCCAUGAAAACAUCAUCUCUUAUGCAGCCUAUUGUCAGCAGGAAGCAAACAUGGACAGGCCAAUAGCAGGAUAUGCUAACCUGUGUCCAAAUAUGAUCUCUACCCAGCCUCAGGAGUUUGUUGGGAUGCUGUCCACAGUGAAACAUGAGGUUAUUCAUGCCCUGGGUUUCUCUGCUGGGCUGUUUGCAUUCUACCAUGAUAAAGAUGGAAAUCCUCUCACUUCAAGAUUUGCAGAUGGCCUCCCACCUUUUAAUUAUAGUCUGGGAUUAUAUCAGUGGAGUGAUAAAGUAGUUCGAAAAGUGGAGAGAUUAUGGGAUGUUCGAGAUAAUAAGAUAGUUCGUCACACUGUGUAUCUCCUGGUAACGCCUCGUGUUGUUGAGGAAGCACGAAAACAUUUUGAUUGUCCAGUUCUAGAGGGAAUGGAACUUGAAAAUCAAGGUGGUAUGGGCACUGAGCUCAACCAUUGGGAAAAAAGGUUAUUAGAGAAUGAAGCGAUGACUGGUUCUCACACUCAGAAUCGAGUACUCUCUCGAAUCACUCUGGCAUUAAUGGAGGACACCGGCUGGUAUAAAGCAAAUUACAGCAUGGCUGAGAAGUUAGACUGGGGCCGAGGAAUGGGCUGUGACUUUGUCAGGAAGAGCUGUAAAUUCUGGAUUGAUCAGCAGAGACAAAAGAGACAGAUGCUGAGCCCUUACUGUGACACGCUCAGAAGUAACCCACUGCAGCUAACGUGCAGACAGGACCAGAGAGCAGUUGCCGUGUGUAAUUUGCAGAAGUUCCCUAAGCCUUUGCCACAGGAAUACCAGUACUUUGAUGAACUCAGUGGAAUACCUGCAGAAGAUUUGCCUUAUUAUGGUGGCUCCGUGGAAAUUGCUGACUACUGCCCUUUCAGUCAGGAAUUCAGUUGGCAUUUAAGUGGUGAAUAUCAGCGCAGCUCAGAUUGUAGAAUAUUGGAAAAUCAACCAGAAAUUUUUAAGAACUAUGGCGCUGAAAAGUAUGGACCUCAUUCCGUUUGUCUAAUUCAGAAAUCAGCAUUCGUUAUGGAGAAGUGUGAGAGGAAGCUGAGUUACCCAGACUGGGGAAGCGGAUGCUAUCAGGUUUCUUGUUCUCCUCAAGGUCUGAAAGUUUGGGUCCAAGAUACUUCAUAUUUGUGUAGUCGGGCUGGGCAGGUCCUCCCCGUCAGUAUCCAGAUGAAUGGCUGGAUUCACGAUGGAAACCUGCUCUGCCCAUCAUGUUGGGACUUCUGUGAGCUCUGUCCUCCAGAAACAGAUCCUCCAGCCACUAACCUGACCCGAGCUCUGCCACUUGAUCUUUGUUCCUGUUCCUCGAGCCUGGUGGUCACCCUCUGGCUUCUGCUAGGCAAUCUGUUUCCUCUGCUGGCUGGAUUUCUUCUGUGUAUAUGGCACUAGGAAUGGAAAAGUGGAUCUUCAAGAUAUUCUUUUAUGUUAUGUUCUUGUGAACAAAGCACAAAGUUUGAGUGAGUGCCAACCUAUGCAGAUGGUAGAAGUGGCAUUCCUUGCUUUGGCUUGGAAGAAUUGACGACCAUCAGACCUUGAAGCAGAACUUCACAGCAGCCUGUCCUCAUCAGCAACCCAACAACCUUCAUCAGCAACCCAACCACCUUCAUCAGCAACCCAACCACCUCGUCAGCAACCCAGCCACCUUCAUCAGCAACCCAACCACCUCAUCAGCAACCCAGCCACCUUCAUCAGCAACCCAACCACCUCAUCAGCAACCCAACCACCUCGUCAGCAACCCAGCCGCCUUCAUCAGCAACCCAACCACCUCAUCAGCAACCCAGCCACCUUCAUCAGCAACCCAACCACCUCAUCAGCAACCCAACCACUUUCAUCUGCAACCCAACCACUUUCAUCAGCAACUCAACACCUUCAUCCGCAACCCAACCACCAUCUUCAGCAACCCAACCACCUCAUCUUGGAGAAGGAGAAGGAACUGCAAGCCACCAAGUCUUCAUUUUUCAGGGUUUGUAAUCUUCCCAAAGUUUUCCUUUGAAAAUAGGAUAAUGGGUGGAAUUUUCAGAGUGAUUACAUACCUCAACAUUUUUAUUAACAUACAACAAUGGGAAAGUUCAUCAUCCAUAUACUGCAGUCACUUAAACAACAGCCAAUUAUUGCAAGAUUAGAAUUGGAGAUCUUGUCCUCAAAAGUAUAAAUUGUCCUUUGAGUUAUAGAAAAUAAUGGAAUUGGGAUUUCUACAUAUCAUUAUUAUACCUAUUUUAAAUUUAAUGGCAGCCAGGCAUGGUGGUGCCUGCCUGUAGUUCCAGCUACUUGGGAGGCUGAGGCAGGAGGAUCGCUUGAGCCCAGGAGUUCAAGGCUGCAGUGAGCUAUGAUUGCACCACUGUAUUCCAGCCUGCACAAUAGAGUUAGACCCUGUAUCUUAAAAAAAAAAAAAAAUUAAUGGCUGGUAUAUAGUAAACUUAAUUCACUGUUCCCAUUGUUUGUUCUAAAGAAUUUUUUAAAAUAAUGUUUCAUUAAAUCUUAUGAUUUAACCGUGCUUGCCCUUUUUGCCAGCUAUGUGGCAGUUUACGGCAGAACUGCUGUCAGUGUGCUGGUAGCCCUCUGUAUUCAUCCCUCUUCAGAGCUCAGCUUCUGGUUGUAUUCUCCAUGAGUUUAAUAAUGACAUGAAAAAAUGUGGAAGCCGAGAGAGUAAAAUACUCUGCCCUGUGAAAACGUGGAAGACAUGCAAACAGAAAAAAACAUAAUUGUAUUGUUUUAGAUAAUAUUAAGACAACUGUGAAACAACAAAAACACAACUAUUCCUUUGUGACCGAUGAAGAUAAAAAGAAAUUCUGGUAAAGACAGGUAUGCAGUUUUUUAAAAUGGGUUAAGAAAUUGUUGCAGAAGAAUUUCUAACAUCUGAAAAUGGUUUUAUGUUUAAGAAGGAUGGUCUGAAUUGUGUACUAAUAGCAAGGUAUAAGUUUGGUGUAGAGCCUAUCCAGUAGCGUCCACUGUACCACUUUUAAGUAAGACUCAGUCCACAGAAGCUGGAAGAUUGCCUUCGCUUUAAAUAUCCUUUACCUUCUGCAUUUGACACUCCUCCUGUUACUACAUAGAUUCCGGUCCCCAGAAGCAAUUUUACACUGGUACUAGAGCUUACCAGCCCCAUUUAGUAAUUCCUAUUUGAAAUUUUUUAAUGGCUAGAUGAGGUUUAACAAGAAUAUGAAAAGAAAAAAGAAAAAAUAUGUUCAUGAAUGAUAGGCGAUGCCCAUUCUUUCUCUCAAGCUAAUGAAGUCCUAUGGCAUUGUAACCACAACCCUCGGACAGACUCCUCCUAUUCCUCCAUGGCAUUGUAACCACAACCCUUGGACAGACUCCUAUUCCUCCAUGGCAUUGUAACCACAACCCUCGGACAGACUCCUCCUACUCCUCCAUGGCAUUGUAACCACAACCCUCGGACAGACUCCUCCUACUCCUCCAUGGCAUUGUAACCACAACCCUCGGACAGACUCCUCCUACUCCUCCAUGGCAUUGUAACCACAACCCUCGGACAGACUCCUUCAGUUCCUCCUUUCCUCGUCCUUCCCUGCUUUUCGUCCAUUCAGCAUAUAGCUAUUCAGUACUCCAUUGAAGAAAUUAUGCUAAGUGAGCAAAGCAACAUAAUUACUAAGAAUUAAUUCUGAUUAUUUGGCACUAGAGCCAACAGCAACCCCAGCACAGAGGAAAGUUGCUUUUUUUUCAAAUGCAUACAUUUAAAGUAUGUAUUUGCAUGCAGUUUUAAAUGGGAGGUAUUUGUCAUUGUGAAAAGCUGGGAAUCUCAAACAUAGUCAACUUAACUAAAAAAGAAGCUAAUACAGGUUGAGCAUUCCUAAUCCAAAAAUCCGGAAUCCAAAUUGCUCCAAAAUCUGAAACUUUCUGAAUGCUGACCUGAUACUACAAGUAGAAAAUUCCACAUAUAAGUACUUAACACAAACUUUGUUUCAUGCACAAACUACUAAAAAUAUUGUAUAAAAUUACCUUCAGGCAGUGUGUGUAGUUAUAUAUGAAACAUGAAUUUCAUGUUUAGACUCGGGUCCAUGCCCAAGAUACCUCAUUAGGUAUCUGUAAAUAUCCGAAAUCCAAAAAAAAGUCUGAAAUCUGAAACACUUCUGGUCCCAAGCAUUUCAGUAAGUGAUGCUCAACCUGCGUAAUGGUCUGCGGGCCAGUGCUCAUUUUCUGCCUAUGUUGUACAUACUUUAAAUUGCGUAAAUUAAAAGUCAAAGCAAAGAGUCUAUUUUUAAAGAAACUUACAAUAAUCUAAACAUAUACUUCUUAUGAUUAUGAAUCAUCCUGCAAAGCUGUAUGAAGAAUUUUACCAAAAAUACAAUGAAUUAAUCAUAUAUUUGAGAGUCACAGUGAUAGGUUCGACUAUAUUUUGACUGUUGUGUAGUGGCACCAUUUAGGUAGUAUUGUUUCUGAGCAUGGUGCUUUUUAUACUUGAAAUAUAUUUUUGCUUUAUUUUUUAUUGAUAUAAUUAUAUUUGCACUAAUGGCUUUCUGAAGAAAAUAUUAUAGAUGACAUUUUUUGUAUAUAUAUUUAUUAAGCUUGGGAACCUGGUCGCCCAGUGUUUUCUCUGGACACAUGUGAAACUGGAUAAAGUAUGGAUAAAGUCUUGAGUUCCUCAGGGUAA
rnacentral:sRNA from 1 species